rnacentral:rRNA from 1 species
GGUCAGGAUGAACGCUAGCGAUAGGCUUAACACAUGCAAGUCGAGGGGCAGCACGGUGUAGCAAUACACUGGUGGCGACCGGCGUACGGGUGCGUAACACGUAUGCAACCUACCCGCUAUUGGGGGAUAACCCGGCGAAAGUCGGACUAAUACCCCAUAUUAUUCUUACCGGGCAUCCGGUAGGUCUGAAAGAUUUAUCGAUUGCGGAUGGGCAUGCGGAUGAUUAGCUAGUAGGUGGGGUAACGGCUCACCUAGGCGACGAUCAUUAGGGGUUCUGAGAGGAAGGUCCCCCACACUGGAACUGAGACACGGUCCAGACUCCUACGGGAGGCAGCAGUGAGGAAUAUUGGUCAAUGGGCGCUAGCCUGAACCAGCCAAGUCGCGUGAAGGAUGACAGAUCUAUGGUUUGUAAACUUCUUUUGCAGGGGAGUAAAGUGCGACACGUGUGUUGUAUUGCAAGUACCCUGCGAAUAAGCAUCGGCUAACUCCGUGCCAGCAGCCGC